GGGGAACAGCUGUGUGAAGCCCGCCGACCCGGCCCGACUUCGCCUGCGACUUCCCGGAACAAUAAGCCCCGGGCCCUAGCGCUGCUGGCCCAGCUCGGGGCGGAAAGCUGCUGCGCCGCGACCCCCGCCUCAGACUCGCUGUGGCGGCUGGGGCGCUGAGGUGUGACACGGCGCGUCUCAGUGUUGUUUGCGGGCGAACAGCCCGAGCCCGCCCAGACACUACGAGCCUUCCUGCCCCGCCGCCCUCGAAGACCUGCCCUCCCGGAGCGCCGAAGUCCUCAGCGGCGCCGAGGGCCCCUCCCCUGGGCUUGCGGGCUCUGAGGAAGCUCUCCUGCUCUUAGACUGAAAACCUGGCUGCUCUGUGUCUAGACAGUAGAAGUUCUGGAGAUGAACAGUGCUGAUGGUUGCACAACAUUGUGAAGGUACUUACUGCCUCUGAACUGUGCGCCUAAAUACAGGACGUAUCAUCAGUGUGUUUUCUUCAUAAACUUGGAACUGCUACUUUCGUUCCUUUAAGAGAUGGAAAAUGUUAGCUAUAUAACCCAGUUGUUAACAACUUUCUUCUUUGCCGUUAAAUCAGAAUUACUUAUUACCAGAAGACAUCUGAGUUUAUUUUUUACAUGAAACAAAAAUGUUAAUACUUACUUCAAGGAACAUGACAGUAACCACUAGGAAAUAAAUCUUAUAAGAUUUUUAAAAUCCAUCAGGUUUAGUUUAAAGUGAUACAGAUCUAAUAUAAUUAUUAUUUUUUUUUUUUAGUUUUUUAU
rnacentral:lncRNA from 1 species